AGCUGCCUUCCAAGCAGUUGACCCGGGU
rnacentral:piRNA from 6 species